GAUGAACGCUGGCGGCGUGCCUAAUACAUGCAAGUCGAGCGAAUGGAUUAAGAGCUUGCUCUUAUGAAGUUAGCGGCGGACGGGUGAGUAACACGUGGGUAACCUGCCCAUAAGACUGGGAUAACUCCGGGAAACCGGGGCUAAUACCGGAUAACAUUUUGAAACGCAUGGUUCGAAAUUGAAAGGCGGCUUCGGCUGUCACUUAUGGAUGGACCCGCGUCGCAUUAGCUAGUUGGUGAGGUAACGGCUCACCAAGGCAACGAUGCGUAGCCGACCUGAGGGGGUGAUCGGCCACACUGGGACUGAGACACGGCCCAGACUCCUACGGGAGGCAGCAGUAGGGAAUCUUCCGCAAUGGACGAAAGUCUGACGGAGCAACGCCGCGUGAGUGAUGAAGGCUUUCGGGUCGUAAAACUCUGUUGUUAGGGAAGAACAAGUGCUAGUUGAAUAAGCUGGCACCUUGGCGGUACCUAACCAGAAAGCCACGGCUAACUACGUGCCAGCAGCCGCCGUAA
rnacentral:rRNA from 1 species